UCAUACAGGAAAUGGAAAAUGGAUUCCUGAAUUUUUAUAAUUUUAAAAAUGUACUGAAUCUUUAGUUCUGAUGAAAGUAAUUUAAAGUUGUCUUGCUCAUUAAUGGUUCAUUCAAUGCUUCAUACAAAAAUAAUGUUGUCUUCUGUUGCAUGUGAUAAUCUUUAAUUUCUAUUUCCAGAAAAAGAAUAAAAUAAAACCAACCUAGUAAAAGUGAUAUAAUAAAGAGCAGAUUAAUAAAACAAUCCCACUUACAGUAGCAUAAAAAUACUUAGGAAUAAAUGGAACCAAGAUGGUGAAAGGCUUUUACAUGGAAAAGUGUUAAAAGUAUAAAAAGCAUUGAAGAAAGAGAUUAAAGAAAAUACAAAUAAAUGAAAAAAACACCCCAUGUUCAUGGAUUGGAAGACAAUAUUGCUAAAAUUAUAGUUUCAAUACAAUACCUAUCAAAAUUCCAAUGGCAUUUUUCAUAGAAAAGGUAAGUUCAAAAUUCUGAUGUAAUCACAGAAGACCCAAAAGAGUCAAAGCAAUACUGCAUGAAAUAAUGGCCAGAGCAUCACAUGACCUGAUUUCAAAAUACACUACAUUACCAUAGUAAUCAAAAUUAUAUGGUGCUAACACACAGGUAUAUAAACCAAUGGAAUAGAACUGAGCGCCCAUAAAUAAAUCUAUUUAUCUAUAGUCAAGUAACCUUUGACAGUGGUGUCAAAAUACACAAUGGGGAAGUUCAGCCUCUUCAAUAAAUUGUUUUGGGAAAACUGGAUAUGCACAUGCAGAACAAUGAAAUUAGACUCUUACUUCCUAUCAUAUAUAGAGGCUAACUCAAAAUAAAAGACUUACAUAUAAGACCUCAACCUAUGGAACUAUUAUAAAAUAAAAAUAAAAAUUGCCCAUUUUCCUCGGCAGCAGCAUUUUUUGAUAUGUGCCCUAAAAUAGGAAACAGGAGUAAAAAUAAAGGGAUUCUGUCAAAGUAAAAAUACCCAUCACAAGGAAACACCAGUGAAGAGACAAUUUAUCUAAUGUGAGAAAAUAUUUGCAAACCAUAAUUUGAUAAAAGAUUAAUGUCCAAAAUAUACAAGGAACUCAGAUAAAUUGAAAGGAAAAAUCAAGGCAAAUGAUAUGAAUACACAUUUCCCAAAAGAAGACAUAAAAAUAGUCAACAGGUUUAAGAAAAACACCCAACAUUGCUAAUUGUCAAGAAAAUGCAAGUCAAAAACCAUAAUUUUUCCCUGUUAGAAUGGCUGCUUUUUAAAAGACAAAAUAUAAUGAGUUUUGGUGAGGAUGUGCAGAAAAUGGAAUCUUUGCACAUCCCCAGAAUUGACUGUAAAUUGAUACAUACAUAAUGGAAAACAAUAUAGAAGCUCCUUUAAAGAUUAAAAAUAGAACUAACAUAAUACAGCAAUCUUAUGUAUCCAAAGGAAUAUAUCCUUUAGUAUGUAUCCAAAGUAAUUGAAUCAGUAUAUCAAAGAUAUAUCUGUGCCUCAGUUCAAUGCAGCAUCAUUCAUAGUAGCAGAGGUAUGAAAUCAACUUAAGUGUCCAUAGACAGUUGAAUAGAUAAAGAAUGGAACACACAAAAAAUACUAUUUAACAUUUAAAGAGGAGGAAAUUCUUCCAUCUGUGGCAACAUGGAUUAUCUGAAGGAUAUUAUGCUAAAUGAACUAAGCCAGGCACAGAAAGACAAACACUACUAUAUAUUCUCAUUUACAUAUAGACUGUAAAGACAUUAACUUCAUAAAAGUAGAAAGAAUGGAGGUUUCCAGGAAAUGAGUCUGUGAUGCAAAUGAAAGAUAUUGGUCAAUGGGUACAAAGUUUCAAUUAUGCAGAAUGAAUUUAUUGUGGAGAUCAAAUGUACCAGAUGUGGCUACAGUUAAUAUCACUGUCAUGUAUACUUGAAAUUGGCUAAGAGAGUAGUAGAUCAUCAAUAUUCUCAACAAAGUAGACACAAAGGUGUGAGGUAAUGAAUGUUAUCUUGCUAGUUUUAAUUAUUUCAAAAUGCAUUUUUAAAGAUUUAUUUAUUUAUUUAUUUAUUUGAUAUCAUAGAUGAAGUAGACUGCUUUCUUGAAAAACAGAUUACCACAACUCACAAUAUGAUAUACAUGGUGAGUGUUCCAAGAUGGCGGAAUAGGGAGGGAGCACACCGAUGGUCCGGGAAGGGAAGGUUCAAAGACGGGUGAGAAUUUGUAGUUUCAGGGAAAGGGAAGCUCUUCUGAAACGGGGGAGACAGGGUGGACCUGCGAGGAGGACGCAGACGCCUGAGGAGCAGGACACCAGCAGGAGUGUGUACGCACCAGCACUGUAAGCCGAGGUGAGACAGGGCGCUCGCCCAGCACUGCUGUAGCAGCCACCGCCGCCCCUCCCCUAACCCACCCUGGGACGGAUACUGAGACACGCACGACUGAGUGGGGGAGGAAAUAGAAAAUGGAACAGAGUAGUGCCUGCGGAAAGAGUGCGCGAUUCACGGGGAUGAACUGAGGGACCAAACAAGUGAGGAUCCCUCCCCCAAGUCGGAGCUGCAGCGGGCAGGAAGCCGCCAUCAUGUUUGUUUACAUUCGGGCUUAAAGGAGAACUGCCUCUGCCUCCGCACUAACCUUCGGAGGCGGAGCCCAAAGGUGGAGUGGAGUGACACAACACUCCAUGCGCAGGGGUGGGCAGUGAGGGAGGGCAGCUCAAAGCCCUGACACCAGUCUACUCAAGUUACCAGAAAAAAAAAAAUUGAAUAGCGCCCGCGGGAAGAGGGCAGGAUCCAGGGGGACAGACCGCCCAACCCACAAUCAGAGCUGCAGUGGGCAGAGUGCAGCCAUCUUGUUUGUUUACAUUCGGGCUUAAAGGAGGCUGGCCUCUGCUCUGAAGGAGGAAGCAGCAGGGGCGGAGUCCAAAGGUGGUCUGGAGCUACUUGACUUCAUUGGCUGACCAACGAACCCCAGGCACAGACAUGUAAGGGCGAACAUAGGAACAAGGAAACCAGUCCCCCAAGGGGCGGAGAUUGGCACCUCAAAGCCCCGACACCAGCCCACUCAAGUUACAAUAAAUAAAUAAAUAAAUAAGUAAAAAAUAAACAAACAAACUCUAGAAGGCAGAUCAGCCUGCUUACACUGGAUAUUGGUACAGACUCACAGCAGCCCAUAGCAGAGGGAAAUCAACCUGAAAAACCACCCAGACGGAAUGCCAAAAAACAAAACAAAAACCCACAAUAAGAAUAUAGAAGAACAUAUAAACUCGCCAAUGGAGCAGGCUAAACCAACCAUAACAGAGGCUGAAGAAGAAGAAGAAUUUGAAACUAUGCCAGAAAAAGAAUUCAGAAAAUUAAUAAUCAGAAUACUUAGAAAUAAUGAGAAACAGUGUCGAGAGCUGAACGAAAAACAAGCCCAAGGAUUAGAGAUCCUAAAGAGAAGCCAGAAUGAAAUACUGGAAAUGAAAAACUCAAUUGACCAAAUAAAAAACACUGUGGAAUCCCUCGGAAAUUGAACAGAUGAUAUAGAAGACCGAAUAUCAGAAUUCGAAGACAAACUUCCAGAAAUAAUACAGUCAGUUCAAAUGCAGGAAGAAGAAAUUAAAAAAUUAAAAAAUAUGGUCGGAGACCUACAAGAUUCAAUCAAACGGUGUAAUGUUCGGAUAAUAGGAGUCCCUGAGGGGGUGGAAAGAGAGAAUGGAUUGGAAGGUGUUUUCAAUGAAAUAAUAUCAGAAAACUUCAAACAAAGGCAGCUGGAUAACAACAGGCAAAUUCAACAGAUAGCCAGGACUCCGAACAGGGUAGACCAGAAGAGAAAUUCACCACAAGCAAGGAGACAAUGGCAUGAUAUAUUUCAAGUUUUAAAAGACAAACAAUGCCAACCUAGAAUACUAUACCCUGCAAAGCUAUCAUUUAUGAAUGAAGGGGAAAUAAAAAUCUUCCAAGACAAACAGAAACUGAAAGAAUUUGUAUCCACGCGUCCAACCCUACAACACUUGCUCAAAGACGUGCUGCACACAGAAAUACAAAAACAAGAACUUCACUACAAAAAAAAAAAAAAGUGAAUGUAGAGUAACCUACAAAGUUCAAAAUACAUAAACAGCUCGUUUAGGAAACAUGAAUGGGAAAAGACAGUACUUAGCAGUAGUCACACUGAAUGUGAAUGGUCUUAAUUCUACUACCAAAAGACAUAGACUAGCUGAUUGGAUCAAGAAAGAGAAUCCAUCUAUAUGUUGCCUUCAGGAGACACACCUUAUCAGCAAAGAUGCACGCAGACUGAAAGUGAAAGGAUGGAAAAAGAUACUCCAAGCUAACAGAAAUCAAAAAAGAGCUGGUGUGGCCAUCCUGAUAUCAGACAAAAUAGACUUUAAAAUAAAAACUAUUAAAAGAGACAGAGAAGGGCACUAUAUAAUGAUUAAAGGAUCUAUCCAACAGGAAGACAUUACUAUUAUAAAUGUAUACGCACCUAAUUACAGGGUGCCUGGCUACCUGAAAGAAUUACUAAAGGAUUUAAAGGGAGAUACAGAUUCAAAUACAAUAGUAACAGGGGACUUCAACACCCCACUCAAACCAAUGGACAGAUCAAUCAGUCAGAAAUUCAACAAGGAAACAACAGAGUUAAUUGAUGCAAUAGACCAAAUAGACCUAAUAGAUAUCUUCAGAACCUUCCACCCCACAGCCACAGAGUUCAUGUAUUUCUCCCCAGUACAUGGAAUGUUCUCUAGGAUUGACCAUAUGCUAGGCCAUAAAGGGAGCCUCAACAAAUUCAGAAAAAUUGAAACUAUACCAUGCAGCUUCUCAGACCAUAGCACAGAGAAACUCGAAAUCAACAACCCAAGAAUCUCUACAAUAUAUGCAAACAUAUGGAGAAUGGACAACAUGAUCCUAAACGAACAGUGGGUUAUCGAAGAAAUUAAAAGAGAAAUCAAAAGAUUUCUAGAAACAAAUGAAAAUGAUAACACAACCUAUCAAAACCUGUGGGACACAGCAAAAGCAGUGCUAAGAGGAAAUUUUAUAGCAAUUUGUGCCUACAUCAAGAAGCUGGAAAGGAACCAAACAAAUGAACUCUCCAUGCACCUCAAGGAUUUAGAAAAACAGCAGCAAAUCAAGCCCAAAUCCAGAAGGAGGAAAGAAAUACUAAAGAUCAGAGAAGAAAUAAACAGAAUUGAAACCAAAAAAAAAAAAAAAAAAACAAAAACAAUACAAAAGAUCAACAAAACCAGGAGCUGGUUCUUUGAAAAUAUAAACAAAAUCGACACACCAUUGGCCCAACUAACCAAAAAAAGGAGAGAGAAGAACCAAAUCUGUAAAAUCAAAGAUAGUAAUGGAAAUGUAACAACAGACACAACAGAAAUAAAAAGAAUCAUCAGAAACCACUACAAAGAGAUGUAUGCUAACAAAUUGGGGAACCUGGAAGAAAUAAUUAGAUUCCUGGACACAUACAACCUUCCUAAACUGAGCCGUGAAGAUACAGAAAAUCUAAACAGACCCAUAACCAUGGAAGAAAUUGAAUCAGUAAUAAACACACUACCGAAAAAGAAGAGCCCAGGACCGGAUGGCUUCACCGCCGAAUUUUACCAGACAUUUAGAGAACUAACCCCCGUUCUUCUCAAGUUAUUCAAAACAAUUGGAAGGGAGGGAAUCCUCCCAAAUUCUUUCUACGAAGCCAAUAUCACCUUAAUUCCUAAGCCCGGAAAAGACACAACAGAGAAAGAAAACUACAGACCUAUCUCCCUGAUGAACAUAGAUGCAAAAAUACUCAACAAAAUUCUGGCAAACCGAAUCCAACUGCACAUCAGAAAGAUCAUUCACCUGGACCAAGUGGGAUUUAUCCCUGGUAUGCAGGGAUGGUUCAAUAUUCGAAAGUCAAUCAAUGUAAUACAUCACAUUAAUAAAUUGAGAAACAAAAAUCAUAUGAUUAUCUCAAUAGAUGCAGAGAAAGCAUUUGACAAAAUACAACACCCUUUCAUGAUGAAAACCCUAAGCAAAUUGGGGUUAGAAGGAACAUUCCUCAACACAAUUAAGGCAGUCUAUGAUAAACCAAUGGCCAGCAUCAUAUUGAAUGGGGAAAAGUUGGAGGAGGCAUUUCCAUUGAGAACUGGCACCAGACAGGGAUGCCCACUCUUACCAUUGCUAUUCAAUAUAGCCCUAGAAGUCUUAGCCAGGGCCAUCAGACAAGAAAAAGAAAUUAAAGGGAUACAAAUGGGAAAGGAGGAAGUUAAACUAUCCCUAUUUGCAGAUGACAUGAUACUAUAUAUAGGGGACCCAAUAAACUCCUAUAAAAGACUAUUGGAACUCAUAGAAGAGUUUGGUAAAGUAGCAGGAUACAACGUCAACGCUCAGAAAUCAACAGCCUUUGCAUACACAGAUAAUGCCAGGGCCGAGGAAGAACUUCUAAGAUCAAUUCCAUUUAUAAUAGCCACAAAAACAAUAAAGUACCUUGGAAUAAAUUUAACCAAGGAUGUCAAAGACCUCUAUGAUGAAAAUUACAAAACACUAAAGAAAGAAAUAGAAGACGACACAAAAAAAUGGAAAAACCUGCCAUGCUCAUGGAUUGGAAGAAUCAAUAUCAUCAAAAUGUCCAUUCUCCCAAAAGCAAUUUACAAGUUCAAUGCAAUACCAAUCAAAAUACCAAAGUCAUUCUUCAAAGACCUAGAAAAAAUGAUGCUGAAAUUCAUAUGGAGAAACAGGAGACUGAGAAUAGCUAAAGCAAUCCUUUACAAUAAAAGCAAGGCCAGAGGCAUCACAAUUCCAGACUUCAAGACAUACUACAGGACAGUUAUAAUCAAAACAGCCUGGUACUGGUACAAACACAGAUGGAUAGACCAUUGGAACAGAAUAGAAACACCGGAGAUCAAUCCAAACAUCUAUAACCAACUCAUAUUCGACAAAGGACCUAAAACCAACUCCUGGAACAAGGACAGCCUCUUCAACAAAUGGUGCUGGGAAAACUGGAUGUCCACAUGUCGAAGUAUGAAGCAAGACCCCUACCUUACACCUUAUACAAAAAUCCACUCAACAUGGAUCAAAGAACUAGAGAUGUGCCAUGACACCAUGAAACUAAUUGAGAGCAUAGGGGAAACCCUUCAAGAUAUUGGAACAGGCAAAGAAUUCCUGGAGAAGACCCCAGAGGCACAAGUAAUCAAAGAUAAAAUAAACAAAUGGGAUUACCUCAAAUUGAAGAGUUUCUUUACAGCAAAGGAAACAGUCAGGAAAGCAAAGAGGCAACCAACAGAAUGGGAGACGUUAUUCGCAAACCACACAACAGAUAAAGGAUUAACAACUAGAAUCUAUAAAAUGAUCAAAAAACACCACAAAAUCAAAACAAACAACCCAAUAAAAAAAUGGGCCAAGGACCUUAACAGACAUUUUUCAAAAGAGGAAAUCCAAAUGGCCAACAGACACAUGAAAAAAUGCUCAGGAUCCCUAGCCAUCAGGGAAAUGCAGAUCAAAACCACAGUGAGGUUCCACCUCACUCCGGUUAGAUUGGCUUACAUACAGAAAUCAACCAGCAACAGAUGCUGGCGAGGAUGUGGGGAAAAGGGACACUAAUCCACUGUUGGUGGGAAUGCAAACUGGUAAAGCCACUAUGGAAGACAGUUUGGAGAAUCCUCAGAAACCUGAAUAUAGCACUACCACAGGACCCAGCCAUCCCACUCCUUGGAAUUUACCCAAAUGGAAUUAAAGGGGAGAAAAAAAGAGCCAUUCUCACCUCAAUAUUUGUUGCAGCUCAAUUCACAAUAGCUAAGACAUGGAAUCAACCUAAAUGUCCAUCAACGGAUGACUGGAUAAAGAAACUACGGGAUAUGUACUCUAUGGAACACUAUACAGCAGUAAAAAAAACAAUGAAAUCCGCGCAUUUACAACAAAAUGGAGGAAGCUGGAAAACAUCAUGCUGAGUGAAAUAAGCCAGUCCAAAAGGGACAAAUAUCAUAUGUUCUCCCUGAUCGAUGGCAACUAAACGAGCAUCUAAAAUGAUACCCACUGAAGUGAAAUGGACACUAUGAGAGACAAUGACAUGAUCAGCCCUUGUCUAGACUGUUGAGGAACAACUUAUUAUUUUAUUCCUUUUAGUAUUUUUUUGUUAUUGCUGUUUGUUCUACAUAAGACCACUGGUUGAACUCUGUAUUCAAUGCACAAUAAUUCUUAGGUGUUUAAAAUUAACAGAAAAGUGAUCUCUGUGAAACAUAGGAGUGGGAAUAAGAGAGGGAGGAGAUAUAUAGGUUGGCACAUGCUCACUCGGACUCACCUCCAAUGGUGGAACUAGAAAUGUGCCAGGGGAUUUCAACUCAAUCUUACCAAGGAGGCAGGUACCAAUGCCAGCGCACUUGGUAAAGUGAUAAGUAUAAAUACACAACCGAUCAAAAAGAUAGGGUAUGUGUCAAUGAGAUUUCACAAAUAAGACCAGUGUAAGCAACUAAUGAAGGAUAGAAUUAAAAGGGAGAGAAUCAUUCUGCAGGGGAAACAGGACACACAGCAGACUCAUAGAAUGGCAGCACUCCUGCCUCAGAAUCAACCCUUGGGACAUUCGGAUCUGGCUAAAAGGUCCAUGAGAGUCUCACAGGCAUGGAAAGCCAUGACAUGGUGGCAAAAAACAAUCUAAAUGAAAGAUCCUGGUGAACAAGACCCCAGCAGAAGGAACAGGCCAGCAAGGAGAGAGGCGCCUUUCUCUGAAGGGAGGAAGGAACCUCCACUGUGAUAUGGCUUGACUAAACAAGUUCAGAGUUGGUCAACUCAAGGGGCUUCCAUAGCCUAGACAGCUCAUGGCAAGAGUCUCGGGUGAUUGCUGACAUCAUAAAUAAGAGUUCCAAUUGUUAAAUCAACAACGGGAGUCACUGAGUACAGGCUCCCCAUGUAGGAUCUCUGUCCUUAAUGUGUUUAACUAUGAAACUCAAAAACAACACUACUAGUUGAACAAUACCCUAUACCUGGUUUGGUUGUGUGAGUGCAGCCUGUUGAAAUCCCUGCUUAGUAUAUACUAAGUUGAUCUUCAGUAUAUGAAGGGCCGUUCAAGACAAAAGAUGACUGUUCCCAUGUACCCACUCAGCUCUGAUGCUGCAGCUUUUAAGAAUCACCUCUACUUGCUGACCCCAGAACCUGAAAGACCUCUUACUAGGAUCCACCACCUGGAUGAAGUCAGAAGUUUUCAAGCAUUAGAGAUACACACGUGAGAAGAGUGGGAAUACCAAGUAAGGAGAUCAAGAACAGACUGCUGAAGCUCAAAGAUGGAAAGAAGAGUGGGACCAGCUCAGAGACUGGGAUAAAGGAAGUGAUGACACUGAAAGACAAGAUGCUGAACUUCUUGGUAACCAAAGUAGCAAUGAGAGAAAAUUAUACUGAGUCUGUUUCCCAAAUUAACAAAAAAUCAUUUCCUCAAUAUUCUUGAGCACUGUGUCUCU